rnacentral:rRNA from 1 species
CCAAUAGCGUAUAUUAAAGUUGUUGCAGUUAAAAAGCUCGUAGUUGAAUUUCGGGAUCAAUGUUUCGGUCAUGCCGUUGGUAUGUACUGAUAUUAUUGAUUUCUCACCUUCUAAAGAACCGUAAUGCCAUUAAUUUGGUGUCACGGGGAAUUAGGACUGUUACCUUGAAAAAAUUAGAGUGUUUAAAGCAGGCUCACGCUUGAAUACAUUAGCAUGGAAU